GGGUUGUGAGGUUAAGCGACUAAGCGUACACGGUGGAUGCCCUGGCAGUCAGAGGCGAUGAAGGACGUGCUAAUCUGCGAUAAGCGUCGGUAAGGUGAUAUGAACCGUUAUAACCGGCGAUUUCCGAAUGGGGAAACCCAGUGUGAUUCGUCACACUAUCAUUAACUGAAUCCAUAGGUUAAUGAGGCGAACCGGGGGAACUGAAACAUCUAAGUACCCCGAGGAAAAGAAAUCAACCGAGAUUCCCCCAGUAGCGGCGAGCGAACGGGGAGGAGCCCAGAGCCUGAAUCAGUGUGUGUGUUAGUGGAAGCGUCUGGAAAGGCGCGCGAUACAGGGUGACAGCCCCGUACACAAAAAUGCACAUAUUGUGAGCUCGAUGAGUAGGGCGGGACACGUGGUAUCCUGUCUGAAUAUGGGGGGACCAUCCUCCAAGGCUAAAUACUCCUGACUGACCGAUAGUGAACCAGUACCGUGAGGGAAAGGCGAAAAGAACCCCGGCGAGGGGAGUGAAAAAGAACCUGAAACCGUGUACGUACAAGCAGUGGGAGCACGCUUAGGCGUGUGACUGCGUACCUUUUGUAUAAUGGGUCAGCGACUUAUAUUCUGUAGCAAGGUUAACCGAAUAGGGGAGCCGAAGGGAAACCGAGUCUUAACUGGGCGUUAAGUUGCAGGGUAUAGACCCGAAACCCGGUGAUCUAGCCAUGGGCAGGUUGAAGGUUGGGUAACACUAACUGGAGGACCGAACCGACUAAUGUUGAAAAAUUAGCGGAUGACUUGUGGCUGGGGGUGAAAGGCCAAUCAAACCGGGAGAUAGCUGGUUCUCCCCGAAAGCUAUUUAGGUAGCGCCUCGUGAAUUCAUCUCCGGGGGUAGAGCACUGUUUCGGCAAGGGGGUCAUCCCGACUUACCAACCCGAUGCAAACUGCGAAUACCGGAGAAUGUUAUCACGGGAGACACACGGCGGGUGCUAACGUCCGUCGUGAAGAGGGAAACAACCCAGACCGCCAGCUAAGGUCCCAAAGUCAUGGUUAAGUGGGAAACGAUGUGGGAAGGCCCAGACAGCCAGGAUGUUGGCUUAGAAGCAGCCAUCAUUUAAAGAAAGCGUAAUAGCUCACUGGUCGAGUCGGCCUGCGCGGAAGAUGUAACGGGGCUAAACCAUGCACCGAAGCUGCGGCAGCGACGCUUAUGCGUUGUUGGGUAGGGGAGCGUUCUGUAAGCCUGUGAAGGUGUGCUGUGAGGCAUGCUGGAGGUAUCAGAAGUGCGAAUGCUGACAUAAGUAACGAUAAAGCGGGUGAAAAGCCCGCUCGCCGGAAGACCAAGGGUUCCUGUCCAACGUUAAUCGGGGCAGGGUGAGUCGACCCCUAAGGCGAGGCCGAAAGGCGUAGUCGAUGGGAAACAGGUUAAUAUUCCUGUACUUGGUGUUACUGCGAAGGGGGGACGGAGAAGGCUAUGUUGGCCGGGCGACGGUUGUCCCGGUUUAAGCGUGUAGGCUGGUUUUCCAGGCAAAUCCGGAAAAUCAAGGCUGAGGCGUGAUGACGAGGCACUACGGUGCUGAAGCAACAAAUGCCCUGCUUCCAGGAAAAGCCUCUAAGCAUCAGGUAACAUCAAAUCGUACCCCAAACCGACACAGGUGGUCAGGUAGAGAAUACCAAGGCGCUUGAGAGAACUCGGGUGAAGGAACUAGGCAAAAUGGUGCCGUAACUUCGGGAGAAGGCACGCUGAUAUGUAGGUGAAGCGACUUGCUCGUGGAGCUGAAAUCAGUCGAAGAUACCAGCUGGCUGCAACUGUUUAUUAAAAACACAGCACUGUGCAAACACGAAAGUGGACGUAUACGGUGUGACGCCUGCCCGGUGCCGGAAGGUUAAUUGAUGGGGUCAGCGCAAGCGAAGCUCUUGAUCGAAGCCCCGGUAAACGGCGGCCGUAACUAUAACGGUCCUAAGGUAGCGAAAUUCCUUGUCGGGUAAGUUCCGACCUGCACGAAUGGCGUAAUGAUGGCCAGGCUGUCUCCACCCGAGACUCAGUGAAAUUGAACUCGCUGUGAAGAUGCAGUGUACCCGCGGCAAGACGGAAAGACCCCGUGAACCUUUACUAUAGCUUGACACUGAACAUUGAGCCUUGAUGUGUAGGAUAGGUGGGAGGCUUUGAAGUGUGGACGCCAGUCUGCAUGGAGCCGACCUUGAAAUACCACCCUUUAAUGUUUGAUGUUCUAACGUUGACCCGUAAUCCGGGUUGCGGACAGUGUCUGGUGGGUAGUUUGACUGGGGCGGUCUCCUCCUAAAGAGUAACGGAGGAGCACGAAGGUUGGCUAAUCCUGGUCGGACAUCAGGAGGUUAGUGCAAUGGCAUAAGCCAGCUUGACUGCGAGCGUGACGGCGCGAGCAGGUGCGAAAGCAGGUCAUAGUGAUCCGGUGGUUCUGAAUGGAAGGGCCAUCGCUCAACGGAUAAAAGGUACUCCGGGGAUAACAGGCUGAUACCGCCCAAGAGUUCAUAUCGACGGCGGUGUUUGGCACCUCGAUGUCGGCUCAUCACAUCCUGGGGCUGAAGUAGGUCCCAAGGGUAUGGCUGUUCGCCAUUUAAAGUGGUACGCGAGCUGGGUUUAGAACGUCGUGAGACAGUUCGGUCCCUAUCUGCCGUGGGCGCUGGAGAACUGAGGGGGGCUGCUCCUAGUACGAGAGGACCGGAGUGGACGCAUCACUGGUGUUCGGGUUGUCAUGCCAAUGGCACUGCCCGGUAGCUAAAUGCGGAAGAGAUAAGUGCUGAAAGCAUCUAAGCACGAAACUUGCCCCGAGAUGAGUUCUCCCUGACUCCUUGAGAGUCCUGAAGGAACGUUGAAGACGACGACGUUGAUAGGCCGGGUGUGUAAGCGCAGCGAUGCGUUGAGCUAACCGGUACUAAUGAACCGUGAGGCUUAACCUUACAACGCCGAAG
rnacentral:rRNA from 1 species